AUGGCACGUGAAGGCCGUGUCCCCACAGCCCCUACACGUGGACCACCUCCCAUACCCGCCAUGCUCCAUGUGGGAAAACAGAGGCCCGGGGAGGUCAAAGCAAGAGGCCAAGGUCACACAGCUUGGAGAGUCAGCUCUGGAGCAGAAAGUUCCAGACUGGAUGUUCUCAUGCUCUGCCCUCCGUGUUCGCCAGGCCCCUCGGCUGCCGGUCGGCCUCCUCCCACGCGCCUCCAGCCCACCCGUGCCUUCAGCCGCACACAGCUCUGUCAGGAUCUGAGUGGGGACGAGGGCAAACCUCCUGCCCCUUGGACAGGGCUGGGUCCCCAACUCGUGUCCCAAAGUCCUGGGGCGGGGGAUGGUGGUGGUAGUCACAGGAUAGAGGCCCGGUCCAAUUAUGUUGUCUGUAGGCGCGGCCUUGGAAAGCGACUCGGUGGGCUUAGGUUAUCAGGAGAUAGCCCCUGGCUGAGUCACCAGGGCUUUGCAAGGAGAGCCCACACGGGUGAGCAGAAUGAGCACCAACUCCCUCCGUCUGUCUGCUACCUGGCCCGCCAUGCGGUCCCCCUCCCCACAUGUUCCGCGUCUACCACCCUCAGACGCCAGACCAAUGGACCGCUGGACUGCGAACCUCCUAAACCGUGAGCCCAGAUACGCAUUCCCCUUCCUGAGCGGUUUGUCUUAGGUGUUUCAUUGCGCAGACAAAACCCUGACUGACACCAAUGGAUGAACACAGCGUGGCCUCAGAGAGCAAGGACAUUUGAGGACACUGCACCAAGUGAGGUCAGCCAGUCACCAAGACGGAUGCUGUGGGAGCCCGUCCAAGGCAGCAACCUCACAGGGCCCACAAGUAGGCUGGUGAUUGACAGGCUGCGAAGAGGGGGCGUGCAGAGGUGUUGUUUAACGGUGCAGAGGUUUGGCUUGAGACUGCGAGAACGUUCUAGAAGUGGAUGGUGGUGGUGACUGCACAAGACUGCCUAUACACUUAGUGCCACUGUGCUUGUAAGAAUGACAAAUGAUAAUUCCGUGGGAUGUGUAUUUUUGGCACAAUUAGAAAACGUUUUAAACGAGUGCAGGUUUGCGCCUAAGUGGAGAAGCCGAGACGGCCGUGAAAUAUGGGAGGCGGGGUCAGCAGAGCAGUCUGGCCCAGAAAGAUGGAUGGGACGGCUGCUGGCAUAUUGAUGGCUCCAAAGUCAAGACCCUGGAUGAGCUCACCGGGAGGGAGGGAGACGGGCCGAAGGACCAGCUGGGACCCGGGGAUGCUGCCCUCCCCACCCCCCUGCAAUGUUAGGUCCAGGAGAGGUGGGGGGAGCCGUGGGCCAGGCAGGCGGGGAGGAAGGGACACGGCUGGCUGGCCGGCACUCGCUUCCACCUGCCCGUGGCGCACACGGAUAUUUUUAGCUGCCUGCUUUCCCAGAAGUAGCUCUGCCCUCUCUGUUGCGUGGCCGGCUCGGCCGGGAGGCACCCGCUGGCCUCCCUCAGAACUGGGUCUCGCCCACACAGCGGGUGGACGGUGGGGUUUGCUGCAUCGGGUGCCGCAGUCCUUUCAUUACCUCUGAGCCAAGACAGCGAAGGCAGUUUGGCCUUUUAAUGAAAAUUGCUUCGGUGCUGUUUAUCACUGACACCUAGGAACUCUUUCCCGGAA
ensembl:lncRNA